CGGUUAUCACUAACGAGUAGUCUAAGAUGCACAUUAAGUUCUGUCCUAUGUUUAUUUUAAUAUAGCUAUACUAACCUAACUAACCGUCCAUAGUGUUUUAAAGUGUUUUAAUGUAGCUAACCUAACCGACCACUUUUAAUAUUAGAAUUAAUUUUCCUGCGAAAAAAUAAAACAAAUCCCGAGAUUGGCCGAAGGUGAAUAUUCGGGCGUGUUCGGGCAGGGACAGAACUUGCUGUACAUUUUAGGCUUCUCGUUGUGCGAUAGUCGUUGUUUACAAUACAGACUGUCAUUCACUUAAAAUACUCAGAAUUUUGUACUUAAGUCCUCGCAGUACUGGAGGAUGGUUUUGAAUAAGUGAAUUUAUAAUAAUAGCUUUCAUUUACUAUGUUAUUGUCGUGUGUUUAUUUAUGUGAUAUCUUUAAAAUUGACAUAUUUUGAUUGUUCGCAUGGAUUCAAAAUAAAAUGGUUAUACCUUGAGGAUUUAAUUUCCAUUUUGUACAGGUUAAUUUUUUCGGCAUAGAAAACAUGGCGAGUAAAUACUCCAGGCAAAUGUUAAAAGUUGUAGUUGCGCAAAUUUGUCAGACGAUAGGAUGGCAUUCCAUUCAAGAAACACCGUUAGAUAUAUUGGUAGGAGUUCUUGACAGACACCUGGCAGACUUGUGCAAAGAAACCAGGAGGUACGCAGAACUGGCGGGGCGUACAGAAAUGUCAAUAUUUGACUUGCUGUGCACAUUUCAAGAUUUGAACGUCAGCUUACUGGAGCUGGAAGAUUACAUGAGGAAUGUAGAUCCAGUUCCGUGCGUUUUUCAAGUACCUCAGUAUCCUCUGCCAUGUGAAUCACACCUGAACUAUUUAAAGCCAGGCAGUAGGGAGGUUGUGACACGACCAGUGCACGUACAUGAGCAUUUGCCGCCCAUGUAUCCGGACAUGGAAGCAAGUGAAAGUGUCCCUUCAAAGCAGACUCCAUUAACUGUGGACACAAGUUCUGUGGGACCUAGCCCUUCAUCCCCUCUGAAUAGUCCUAAAACUAAUGUUUUCAAGAGGCCUGGGGACCCAAUAUUUGUGGAGAACCUAGCUGUGAAGCGUGCCAGGUUGAUUUUAGAAGAAGAAGGUCGUCCUCUUAGAGAGAUAAGCAGUGUAAUGAUGACUACAUCUGGUUUUCUAUCUCCAGCCAGGGAAGGCAAAUUGCCGGAGUCCCGCUCACCUCUCCAACCUUCAGACUCUCGUUCAAAUUCCCCACAGCCAUCAUCUUAUCCUAUGGUUCCACCAGAAGUCAAAGGAGAAAAGAAACCAAAGAAAAUUCCAGCAAAGAAAAGUCUUGAUGUCACAAAGAAGCCAGACAAGGAAAAUAAAAAGAAAGAGAGCAAAAUGAAAGAUUCGAACAAACUAGACAAGCAAAAUUUUGUACAACAAAAUGAUGAUUCAGAUGUAAAGAAGUUGGUGAGCAUGAAGGAGUUAUCAAAGCUCAAAGCUUUGAAGCCAGGAGCUUUGAAGAUGAGUGCUUCUCCAGAACCAUUAACAACAUUAAAGAUUCCAAAGAUUAUUGCAAAACCACCGCCACCAGCCAAAUCACCAGAAUGUAUGAAUUUUAAAGCAACUGUGCCAGUUGUGCCUAUAAAACCUUUUAAAAUAAUGGAUGCUCCUCAGGUAAUGCCUCCAACUGUUAGAACAAUUCCUGAAAAACCUUUAGCAAUGAUUGAAGGCAAAUUGUCUACAGAGCCUGACAAACAGAAGUUAAAUAUAUUUAAGAAAAUUUCAAAGGUGAAAGAAGAAAAAGUUGACAGAGCCGAUCAUUCUGAUACUCCAGCUAAAGAUUCUCGUGAAAGUUCACCCGGUUUAGUAAUUGAUGAGUGUGAGCUAAAUACUAAGCAACAUGAAGUUAGAAUGGCUCAGAUUGAUGACUGUAUAGAAUCAGUGAUACAGAUGAGUGUAGAGCUCAGUAACGUUACUAGUCCAAAAUUAGUUAAGCCCAAAAAAAAUUUCCCCGAAGUUGUUGAAGCCACAAAUAAUAAAGUUGAUAGUACUAUAAAUGAAGUUGUUUUAAACUGUGCACAAAAUUUGGUUGAUGAUGUAUGCUUAGUAGACGAUAAUUCCUCACCUCCUAGAUCCCCCACUGCUCCGAAAACCCCAGAACCAUCAUCUGUGCAGCGAAAAGUCGAGAAAUCACCAGAGGUAAAAGAGAAAACUAAAAAGAAAGAAAAAAUGAAAGCUAAGAAAGAACUUUUAAAGGAAGUGCUGAAGUGGCCAUUUGCCAUUCAAGAUGAAACACCGGAAGAUGUAAAAACAGAAGCUCUGGAUAGGCCGAAAACCCCUGAGCUUAAAAGUUCUGCUCCAUCAUCUGUAUUUCCAUUUUUAAAUUUCCCUCCAGGUCCUGGCCUUAUCCCUCCUCCAAUCCCGCACUCAUUGUUUCCAAGGUUUCCUCUGAACUUGAGCAGCAAGAACUUGCCCCAUCCUGCAAUGCCCAACUUACCUUUGCCACCACCUCACUUCAUGCAACCUCGCGAAGAUCUUGGUGAGGCCAAGGAGAAGGAAAAGCUAAGUGACAAACCUGUCACUUUCAUAAGCCCACCAAGCAUUUGUGUUCCAACUCCUCAGAGGCCUGGUAUAUUAGAUAAACCAGUGUUGAACAUAAUGUCACCAGUUAAGGAGAAAAGUGGCGAGAAGAAAAGUAAAGAACACAAGAAGGAAAAGAAAGAUAAAGAUAAAUCUAAAAAGAAGAAAGACAAAAAAGAAAAGAUUAAGAACAAAGAGAAAAGUGAUAAGAAAAAGUUGCGAUUAGAAAAAAAAGAAAGAGCUAGAGAGAAAAAGGAAAAGAAAAAGCUGAAAGAAAAGGAACGGAUCCUAAUGGAGGAGAAAUUUGAAACGUCUGUUCCAAAACUCACAUUACGGAUUGGACCGUCUUCUCCAAAGGCUUCUAGCAGUGCGCCUGACACACAACAAUGCAAAAUUGUCAUCAAACCCAUCGUGAAGAGGAGCAGUGAAGAAGAAGUUGAAAACUGUGCCCCUUCUCCACUCGUAAAUGUGGUCGCUGCCCAGACCCAGAAACGUGAACCUUCUCCAGAAUUGGCGAGAAUCUCAGCCCUAGUCACUCGGCCUCCCAAACUAAAAUCAUCAAGUAAGGCGUUGUUACCUAACCCAGAGACAACUCUGGUUCCUUCACCCAAUCUCUCUUCUAAAAACCUGCCCCAAGACUCUGAAGCUGGGUCCUCCCUCCCCUCUCCCCUAUCAUUUCCAGACAUGUUGUCACCAUCUCAGCCACCAGCACAAAUUGUAAAAGCGAAGAAGUUAGUGGCGAGACUUGUAACCAAAGAUAAUGACAACCCGACCGGACCUGUACCUGUAUCUCUACCUGAACCGGAGCCAUUGCCGGUUGCAUUUUACUAUGAUGAUGCAGGAAAUAAAGUGUGGAUUUGCCCAGCAUGUGGUGGUCACGAUGAUGGCAGUCCUAUGAUUGGCUGUGAUGACUGUGAUGCAUGGUAUCAUUGGGUCUGCGUGGGAAUACAAGUUCCGCCAGAUGAAAAUGAGGAUUGGUAUUGUAGAGUAUGCAUAGUCAAGAAGCAGGAGUACCUCGUAGAUAAGAAGAAGAAGUACCACAGAAAAAAGAAACAUCCAGUGUAAUGUGCUUUGACUAAUAUAAAAGGGCCGUGACGUAGCCCGUGUGUGGUGAGGCCCGUUUACCCUGUAUCACUGAAAACCUCCGAGAACGAGGACAUGUGCAUGAAGCUCCUUCCCUCGCAGCGCUCGCGACUCACUGACAGUUCGUCCUGGCUCGGCAACUCUCGGGAGCGGAGCACUGACGUCACAUUGGCAGGUUGAUACAUUGAAACACUUCAUAUUGCAGGCCGGUGUUGUCUGCAUAUUGAAGUAUAAGAGAUGGUGUCUACUGAUUAUACUUUGUCAUAUUAGGAGGAAAUAGUAGUGAUAUGAACUUUUGUUAAUUUUUUUAAUAUAUUAAUUGGUUAACAUUUUAUUCUGCCUGUUUGAAAAGAUCAGCACAGUCUUAGAAAUUCAGUCAAUUAUUCGCAGGAUCCAGGUUGUUAAAUUUCUUAGGUAAUAUAAGAGAUAAUGUACUCUUCAUUAAACUUUUCAUUUUGCAAUAUACUCAACUGGGUAUAUUUGUUAAAAUUAUAUAUUAUUAAUUUGUUCUUAAACUUGAUGCAAAGAAGAACUCUUUAGCUUAAAACAUUGAUAGAACAAUAUAAAGCAAUACAUAUACAUACAGAAAAACCUGUAUAAUACAACACUGCUUAAGAUAUUUUUCCACCUAAAAUGCCAGGAUAAUAUAGCACCAAAAGAGUAUUGUAUCAUUAAUCUAAACAUCCCUUUUUCUAUCCAAAAUUCUUUCCUAAUAGUGGCCGGAAUGCAUCCAAAUGUUAUAACACUGGUGUUGUAGUCAAAGCACUAUAACACAAUGGCACUAUAUUUUAUUUCCAGAUCGGUGGUCCGUAACAUAACACAAAUUUCAUGUACGUGAUGAAAACCGCAUAGUUUACAGCACUUUAAACUCAACAUAAAUAACAAUGACAUAAAAACUUUUAUAGCAACUAUCAAAAAUAUGAAUUAUACUCUGCUUUUAAAAUACAAUUAAUCAAAGCUCUCUCUCAAAGCAAUGGUGGAAAAAGUUGCGUGGAUGAAUGGAAAACGCAGAUUAUUGAAGUUAAAAUUCUUUGGGCCCGUUUGGAGUAAAUUUAAAGUUCAAAUUUUAGUGGGAGUAAAAUUUCAAGGUCAAAUUUUAGUGGGAGUAAAAUUUAAAGUUCAAAUUUUAGUGGGAGUAAAAUUUCAAAGUCAAAUUUUAGUGGGAGUAAAAUUUCAAGGUAAAAUUUUAGUGUAACGUUUUCGCGUCAGAAACAUUGUUGUGAAAUGUUUCUGACGCGAAAAGGACGGAGGAAAGGUUGCGGACGGUGCACAGAACUUGUCAGGCCCCGAUGCCUUGAGCGGAGCUCCAUGUAGUGGCAUGCAGCUCAGGUUUAACCCUGACAUGCUACAGGGAUAGGCGGGUCGCUGCGGUAAGGACCCGCCUGCUCCUGACGCCAUCCGACUUGCUGGCAUCUAGAAAGGGUGUAUUUAGGCAGAGGGCAACACAAUGGUUUUUGAGCUUAUUGUUGUGCACUGUGCCACAGGCAUAGUCACAACAAAAUGGUGUUAUUUCAAGUACGUAUUAUUUUAAUAACUUGCGUAAAUAAGUAUUGUUAAACAGUGUUGUAUAAGUAUUGUUUUAGCUGUGUAACUAAAUAUUUUUGAAGUGAAACUUCUUUGGGUGUAAUGAGAGUAAAAUUUCAAUGACAGUUUCAAAGCCGAAUUUUAGUGCAACAUUUUAGUGAAACAUUGUUUUGAACAUUUCUGACGCCAAAGAGAUAUAAAGAGAGCACUUAAGAAUCAAGGUUUGAAUUGCCAAACAAGUUUCACUUCUACCAUAUUACUGAGAUACAUGUGCUCUUUUUUACUACAUUUUCACCGUGAACAAUUAUUUGGGGUGCUUCUUUUUGCUUCGUCAAGCAUUCCUAAUGGAAAAAAAUGUCUACGACCAUGGACUACAACAGAACACACGGCCACUCUUUCACAAUAGACGUAUAAAUAUUUGAAUGCAAAAGUUGCCAUGUAAUAUAAAUUAGUAGCCACAAUUGAUCUAGUCAGUAUCGAUCAUGCGCAUAAUAGUAGCUUACUUGCCGCAUUUAUAUUAUUUAUUUAUUUUAUUUGUCACAUGCUCACCAACAGUUGGGGGACUUUCACCAAACAAACAUGACGCAAAUACAAAACAAACAUGAAUAAAUAUUCCGGAUUUGAGAGGAAUUUUUCAGUAAACAUGACUGUAAUAUUGCUGAACUAAAAUACAUUUUGCAUGGCCACCUUAACAAUUAAUACCGAAGAAUAACUAUGUUUGAAAAUUUAAAUGUGAGCUUUUUUUUUCCCUCAAUAUUUUGCAUACCUAGUUUUUGUUUAAAAAUAAAAGUGCAUGUACUUAUGUAUCCACAUUAGAAGUUAUACUUGGCAUAAUAAAAGAAUUAAUUUAAUAAUUUAUUAAAAUAAUUGAGAUGAAUUAAAAUUAUUACUGAAAAUCAAUAAAUAUGCUGGAUGUUUAUUCUAAUUUAUUAAUUUAAAUUAUUUAGUAAAUAAUAAUUUUAUAAUUUAUAAUGCUAAUAAACUACACAUACAAGAACAUAACCUCAAUUAUACAAAUCUACGUAAAAAAAAACUUGAAAAUGUUUAUAAACACAAUUUAAAUAACAAAUAUUCACAAUAAAUACAUUUUUAGUUAUACGGACCAGUAUUCAAUACCAGUCACUAAAUAUUUGAAUGUGACUCGCACGUAGUUCCGCACCCACAGCUGGAAUUUUUUACCAGAGCAGCUACUUCGACUAUCGAAUCGUUCACUUUGCGGAGCGAAAGGUUAAUAUCUCCGAUAAAAACGAAAAUGACUUGAAAAAAUACUAAUUCUCGGUUUGGACCUGAUUUCUUACAAGGAAUUUUAUUGAAAUACUGCCCAUCAUGUUAAAAUUCAAAAAGUUAAAGCUACAUAGUUUCCGCACACGUUAGAUGACUAUAAAUUAUUUAGUAUUAAAGUAAGUUAGUUGUACUAGUAUAAAGUUUUAUUUAUUAUUACCUAUGCAAAUUCAUAGAAACUCAUUUCCUAACAAAUGUAAUUAAUUUAAUACUACUUUAAGUAAAAAUGAGGUUAUAUGCUAGUUCCCCCUCGCGAGAUUUCUGCGUACUAACCCCGAAUUGGUUCCGCCGUUUCCCCGACAGAGUGCACUGUUUUCAGGGCACAAUUAACCUCCGAUGCCCCUUAAGUUAGGCUACCAGCCACCUUCAUUAUUUUUUUCUUUUGGUUGGCGGAGCGAACUCUCCGCGCUCUAUUUCCAACCAAUCAGAGACUUUUUCCCCCACUCCCUAAGCCUCCGGCCUCUGGCCCAAGUUUUAACUACAUGCAGCCCUAUAAAACGAGAGAUUCGCCCUCCUGUCGUCACUGCGGUAGCAUCUCUCCGGAUCUUAUCGCCCGCGACUUUAUUUACAAGCUAUCUCGUCACGACUAAAUUAAGAGAUGUGAUCCCUAAAGUUCGUGAGCAUUGCCAAAGUUUUUUUUUUCUAGUUGGUUAGUCGCCAUUAGUUCAGACUACUAGUUAAUUUCGUACCAUGUCUCACACCGGGCUACCGUGAGCACUCAUGCAGCCUUUUCUGACGGAGUGAUUUUCUCCAUUCCACCCCCAGAAUGUGGGGUCGAAGAGAUGGUGCUAGAUCGCAGGGUUUUCCCCGGCUUAAGUCCAUCCCGGAAGUCUACUAAAUUUACGCCUCUCCGUCUGGAAUGAAUGCUGUGAGUAUAUCCCGCUUCUAGUCACAGCCAGUGAACAGUCAUCGAUUAAAUAUUGUGAAAUCAAAUUAUAUAUAGUCCCACACUGGUUGGGCUAACAAACUUAAUUAUUUAUUAUUGGUUUUUUUGUAAAUUUGGGCAUGACUUGUCUUAAGUUGAUCAAAGGAAAAUGUUAAAUUUAUAUUUCAUGUACCAUCAAUAUCUGUUUGUAAUUGAUUUUUAUGGCCGACCCCCCCACCAUUAAUUCUGAUCAUUGUAAUUUUGUAAUUUCUAAAGAUUAUCAAAAGAUAAUAUUAAAAAUCAUAAUUCAAAAUAAAAAGGGUAAGCUUUAAACAAACUUCUUUUUUAUUUAUUACUUCAAAUUCGAUCUACUACUUCCUAUUAUGAGAAGUAAGUUAUUUUUUAUUGUUUCUCUCUUGUGUACCUCCGAGUAUACUGUUGUAUGUUUCGCCCACUUAAAACAGCUUCCAGGGCUUUUAUAACAAAAUUUAUAUAAAGUUUUCUUUAACCACACAAGGGCAGUAACAGCGCCGCUCGACGGUGCAGUCCACGGAGUAGUGCCCGGAUUGAGCGGGAUGCCAGCCAGGAGGAGCGUCAAAGUGGAGCUCACGCCCCACCUCGCCUCUCCACGCCUCACCUCGUGACGAGUCGCCUGUCCAGCUCCACUCUUGCAUUCAUAGGGGCUGACAGUCAUUUACAAGUACAAUAUUACCAUGCACCUCAGAAACAUGCAUUAUGCCCCUCAAUGAUUAACAAGAAAAAACACUAAAAGAUUUUACAAAAAAUGAUUAUACGGACGUAAAAAUCGCAGGGCAAAAUAAUAUUAUGAAUGAAUUAAUAAAUAAUUUGACUAUGUAACAGGCAAUGCAAGUCUCGCGAGGUCGAACAUGGCAGGUGGUACAGUGGAAUGGCAACCUGUACACACCUCAUACAAACAAGUAAAAAUUCGUGAAGCUAGGUUCUCGCACUGAGUACGACCAGGGCAAGAAACCAGAAUGCAAGAAAAUGAGUGGCUACAAUUUGAAAUUAAUUCCAAGCCCCAGCAAAAUUGCGAAAGACAAACCUACCUGCAAACGUGACCCACCUCGACAUGGCGUGCUACACAAGGUAAUAUUAUGGUGCAAUGCAGCAACAAGUUACACACCAUAAACAAAAAUAAUUUAACUAAAACAUGAAUUUAAAUGGUGUAGGCCGAAAACAAUAAUUUAGAAUAAGGAAGAAUAAUUGACAAUUGACGUUACGUUACGUGACAGAGCCACCAUCUGUCGCAAGUCAACUCUCAAAAAUUCCAACUUACUUGCCAUGUCUCGCCGUGCUUUCACGUUACAUUUGCACUAAGUUGAAAUUUGUGAAUCCACUUUAAGAAGUGAAACAAUGCCCUAAUUCAGUGACUGAACCAAAUGAAAUGACCCGAAGAAGAAGGAAGCAGGGCUCUCCGGAGCUUAAAUACAAGAGCCUAGAGCAUUCUGCGCAUGCGCAAGAACCUUGGAGGGUGGCCAGAAGCAAGGAAAAGGGGGUGGGGGGAAUGAUGACAACAUGUGUGAUAAGAAGUGUGACGAGGGGAAGUGAUGACCAUGCUGCGGCAUAUUAAAGCAGAGGCAGUGAAUUCAUUUCACUUUUUAAAGUUUAUUUACAUAAGUGAGGUUAUGUUCUCAUAUGUAUAGCGAUGUCAGGUUGCUUGUAAGUUUCCGUUGUCGCUGGCAGGGAGAGUCCGUGGAAGGUUUAUUAGUCUCCUGGCCGUUUUCAAGGGAGUGUUUGUGAGGUUAUCGUCCUGUAUGGAUAUUUUAUUUGCAUUUUAAAUUACAAAUUAUUAUAUUAUUAUUUAAUAAAUAUUUUAAAUUAGUAAAUUAGAACAAACAUUCAGCAUACUUAUUGAUUUUGAAUAUUAAUUAAAAUUUAGAUAGGUUAUUGUACUAAAUUAAAUAAUUAAUUAUAUACACGUGUUUAUACGAGGCAUGUUCCAAAAGUAAGUUUUGUAAUUUUUCUUCACAUGUAAACUUUAUUGCAAAAAAAAUACACAAUGGCACCAUGAACUAUACACCUUGCACUAUUUUUCGACUUAGUCGACACUGACAUUGAGACAUUUGUCGUAGCUUGCAAUCAGUUUGAAGAAACCACUGUGGUAAAACUCGGUGCCCUGUGAUGCAAGGAAUUGUCAUGCAGCCUGCUCCAUCUCAGUAUUGUUUUGGAAAUGGUGUCCCGAGAGUGCUUCUUUCAAUAUAGGGAACAGGUGAAAAUCAAAUGGGACAAGGUCAGAGCUGUAUGCCGGGUAAUCCAAUCUGCCACAUUGGUCCCUUAAAGGAGGAAAUCAAGGAGAAUCACAUCUUUCGAUCCCAGAACACUGUGGCCAUAACCUUUCCUGGUGAGGGUGACACGUUGAAUUUUUUCCCCACUGGUGAACUGGGAUGUUUCCACAUCAUUGAGGCGGCCUUGGUUUCUGAAGUAAAUUGGUGCACCCAUGUCUCAUCAACUGUGAUGAUCCUGAACAGGAACUCAUUUUCCUCUCACAUGUACCGCAUCAAUUGCUCGAGGCUGAUUUCCCAUUCUUGCACUCUUGUUAUCCAGGGUCAGGUUUCUCGCCACCCAUCUUGCAGACACUUUUUGGUAACCAAACACAUCAUAAAGCAUGUGAUGGGCCUGAGCACAACCAAUACGCAGUGUGGACGCCAUGUCUGACAAUGUUAUGCGCCUGUCUGCUAACACCAUGUCCUGUACUCUAGCAAUGUUGUUUUCAUUUGUGGAUGUGGAGGGACGUUCACUUCAACCUUCAUCCUCCACACUCUGCCUUCCUUCACUGAGCAUGCAGCACCUGCACGAGACAUGACCUCUUCACCGUACACAGUCUGUAGGCGUUCAUGAAUGACGGACACACUAGUCCCACGAGCCCAUUCAUACCGGACAACAGCACGUACUUCCAUUGGCGACCACGCUGUCAGUACAUGUCUGCCUGCCUCGAAUAACCUCGUGCACGCCGGUCUGCUGCUACUCUUUCUCUUCUUCGAGCCUCUGCGCAUGCGUCAUUCCCCGCUGCUGACACUACUUCUGUUGUUGAACCAGCAACGGCUGUAGAUUCUUGUGGUCAUUGUUUGUUUCACCUGGUGUACCAUCUGCUCUUUCAGAAAAAUGAUAAAACUUACUUUCAGAACAUCCCUCUUAUUAAUAUGAUAUCUGAGUAUUAAUUAAAAAAAUGUAAUUUGAUUACAUUACUUUACCAAACUAUUUAUAAUAUGAUUCCAGUUAUUUUAUUAUUUUAUUUCUCUUAUUUAUUUGGAUGCAAAAUUAAAGUUAGUUUUUUACUACACCAAUUAAGUAUAACUUCUAACACACAAACAUAAGUAUACUAAACCAUUUUUUUUUACUUUCCUCGUUAACAAGUUUUAUUUAGAAACAUCUGAAUAGUAGUAGUAGUAGUAGUAGUAGUAGUAGUAGUAGUAGUAUUAAUAGCUUAAUUAAAUUGAAUUCUUCCCCUCCUUCACAUUACAUUGAUACAUCCAUUCAUUUUGUAUUAUUAACUUGAAUUAAAAGGAGGUUAUUGGAAGUAGUCUACUUUAUAAUUUUGUGUAGAAUUUUUUAGGCCUGUAUCAAUUCUUGGGAGGCAUUCCCUUAAAAUGAAGGAUGAAAUAUUUUUUACAGCUCACGAGUUUGUGUAUUAUAUGCUUCGAUUGAAUAGGGUCUGGUGCCAGUACAUGAGAAAUGUGAUAUGUUUACUAAAUGCAAUAAAGUGUAUUUCUAACAACAAAUAAUGCAACAGUUAUCUCUCACAGUUUAGUUCAUAUGAAAAAAAAGUUUUUAAUACUAAACAGAGAUGUAGUAGAUACUAAAUGGAAAUGUAGUGUAUAUUGAACAGAGAUGAGCAACCUUUGGAAAUGGUAGAGUGAAUUAGAACUAUGUUUGUUAAGAAAAGGCAUAAACAUGCAAAAAAAUUUAAGAUCAGUGCAGAAUCAUGUGGUGUACUUUAAUUUCAUUUACUGGAUUAUUUUUAAUGUUUGAACAUUUCUAAAACAAACAGCUACAGUUUUCCAAGCCAUUAAUCCUUUUUACUUUUUUGGUUUAAGAGGAAAUGCAAGCAGGUUGUUGAGUUAAUGGUAAUUGCAACUGCUAAUUCAACAAAGCAGGCCCAAAGUUUCAGCCUUAAAUUUUCUAAAUGAAAUACUGUGCUCUGAUGCUCCAACAUCUUCCUGCAUUGUGUGACAUGCAUUUUGAACAGGUAGCCAAAGUUAAUGGCUGUUUUACAUGUUAUUUGCCUACACUUAGACACUAAAAUUAUCUUAUAAGUAAAAGUGUAGGGUCAUUUGUUUGAUGCCUUAUGUAACUAUUCCACAUUUCAUGACUAAAUAAAUAUAUAAGAGGAUUGAGAUGGUGCUGCAAAUGAGCAGGGACUCUACUCAAUGGUUGGUAAAAGUGUGUAUUCAAUCAGUGUAUUUAUUACUUUUGCUAGAGGUUUAUUCGUGAAAGAAAUGUAGCAUCAAUUGAACCAUUUGUUAAAACCCUUUGUAUUAAAUGAUUAAUUUUAAUUAUGUAUAUUUGAGCUUGGAAAUCAGUUGCAUUUUAUACUUUAAAAAGGAUAUUAAUAGUUGGUGACAUACAUGUUUGUUGGGUUUUUUUUAAGAAGAGUGACUUUUAUGGAAAACUGAAUUGCAUAGUAUUUUGAUUUUAUCUUGAUUGGUGAAUGAAAUAUAAUUUUGAUAAGUUUUAUAACUGAAUCAUAGGUAGGUAUAUUAGUAAAACAAAUGAAUUAACACAAUGAAUUAUCACUUAAUAUAUAUGGUAUAGCUAUCAAAUGGCAUGUUAGAUAAUAUUCUUAAAAUAUAUAAUAAAUAGUGAGGGAAGAAUACAAGCCUUAUUUAAGUCCGAAGCAAUUGUGAUAUUUUUAUAAAUGAGUGAUUUCGUUUGUUGAUAGCAAAAUUUGCUUGAGGUGUGAGAUUGCAAAUUAUUUUAGCUGAAAAAUUCAGCAGCAUUUAUGGAAUGGAUAUGUGUACUACAAACUUGUAUAUAAUACAUUCAAAUGAAAUUUAUUGUAUGAUAUAGAACUAGAGGUAUGGAUAAAACUAAACAAUGCACAUAUAGAUAAAAAAAAUUGUUUUUGGAAAAUCUACUUCCUCCUUUUUAUGUUUAUAUUAUAAUUCUUAUAGAACUGAGGUUGUGAUGAGUAUGUACAUAGUUAGUAAUUGCUUAUUUUUGGACAUGUCCUUAGUUUUGUUACACUGCAUGAUAAUCAAUGUAGCUACGUAUUUAAAUAUAGACUGUACCAACCCAGACCUUACCGGCUAGUUUUGGCCGGAAUUGCACAUAUAUAAAAACACUUGAAUUUGUUGGGUUCAAAAAUACUGUUCUAAUUUUGUUAAAAUGUUGCUGUAAAUUAUUUAUAAUGAAAAUAAAGUCUCUCGAGAACAAUGACUAAUCUUUGCUGCUUUUUAAUUAUCCUGGACUGAAUAUUCACAUUCGCACAAAGGCCACCAUGUUCCGAUCACAAGUCUCGUUGCAAGCCUAGCAUCGAUGACUGCAGUCAAAGCAUUCAAAAUAAAAAGUCCAAAAAUGUUUAUAAAUUGAUACCGUCCAGACCGCAGCCGCGGAAUUUGCUUCUCAUUAAUCAUCUCUGAGACCACUUCAAAUUACUCUGUGUUCACUAGGAUACUAGCAGAAUCAUUCUUAUGGAUGGCUCAUUUUAAAAAGUCAUCCAGUGUAAUUUUAUUUGUAUUUAUCAGUGUUUAGGUUUAUUGCCUAAGAAAAAGCAAAAUUUACUAAUAGAAAUGUUACAAAGAAAUUAAAACUAUUGUCAGUAUGUAAGCCAUUCAUACAUUUGACUUCCAUUAAAUGCAUGUUUGAUUUAAUAAAGAUUUACAAUGUACAGUAGAGUCCCACUAAUUCAAACUUAUUGGGACAUAAACAGAUUACCAUAUUUUUGGAUUCGCCAAAUAAUUGCUGUAAUACAAAAGUGUGUAUCAAAAUACAUCUCUAUAAGCAUUAAGUUAUCACUUAACAUAGCCUAUCUAGAGCUGGGCGAGAAAAUGUAGGCGGGAAAAUAUUUUCCGCUGAAAAUGGGACGGGAUCAGGAAUUGUUUGAGGUUACGAAUUUCAAAAAUUUCCAUACUAUUUCAAAGGCUUUUUUUUUUUAGACCCAAAUCUAGUAAUUAUACAAUGGUAGAGGCAGGUAAUUCUCAAGGACUGUAAAAUACCAUUAAAUAAGGCUAACCUUAUGUAAUUUUUUUAUAACCGAAAAAUUAAAACAAAAAGUUACUUGGCAAAAUAGUGACUAAAUUAGCAUAUUAUUACAUUUUUAACUCAAAUGACUCACUUAUGUUAUUUAUUUAUGAAAUAUUUAUUCAGAAAUAUUACAAACAUAUUUGAAUUUCUACUCUAUUCUAGCACUUUUAUUUACAUUUACAUUUGUUUAUGUUGCUUUCAAGGUGCAAGCCAAGUUGCAUCGUCUAUAGUGUCAUAGAUAAAUGCAUCGAGUAAGCUACUACUGUGUGAACAUGGUGGUAGAUUGAUCAUAACUAUUGUUAACAAAAAUUUUUGCACGUGGACAUGUAGAAUACAGGAAUAAAAUAGUGAAAUGGGUAAAAGAUACGUUCACAGUUUUUCGGGAAAAGCAGGAAUCCAGCUGCUCUACCUUAACACUUUUAAAUGCACAAAAUCGCUAAAAAAAAUGUUGGUAAUUGAGUCAAAUUGUCAAAAUAAUUUUUCAAAAUACAAAACAAUUGAAGUUAUUUGGUUUCUUUUCACCCUAAACUCAUUCUGAUUAGCCGGAUUUUCAGAUUAGCGGGGUUCAGAUUAGUGGAACUUCACUGUAUAUGUAGUCAUCAGUAUAUAUAUGCUGCAGAUACUUUUGGUCUUGUAAGACUAGUAAUAUGGUUUUAGUUCUGUGUGAGAUUUGUUACAUUACCACUUUUUACACAUGUUUGGUUAAUAAUAUAUUAAGAUGCCUAAACUUAAAUUUAGUUUCAUUAGUCAGGUAAUGGUGGCCUCUUUUUGGUAGCAACUAGCAGUUGGUAACAAAAUAUAAAAUAGUGCAAUACAACAUGUAUUUUUAUCUAGAGAAAAAAAAUGUAAAUAACAGUUAUAUAUUAUAAUUAGUUUUAUAAUGUAUGAUUUAUUGAUACAUAUCUCAUGGCUGAUAUUUUUGUAGCGAUUUUGAGUUGCUGUGGGCAAUGCUACCAAAUGGCACCAUGUUGUUCACCAGCCCCUCAAACUAAUGCUGUUUGAUUAGCGUAUUUUUUUUAGAAACAACGCCAAUUAAUUACGGCAUGAUUUGAAGUAGUGCAGUCAUAGAUUUGAAGUAGCCAUGUUUUCUUUUACAUGAAUUUUUAUUUUUGUGCACACACAAUGGCAAUGGCACUUGUGUAGCGUUAAAUACAAUGCAACAAAUUAAAAUUUUUACAAAUCAACAAAAUAUAUUUUGCUCUUUCUUUAAUAUCUAUUCAUUCGCUUCCUUCAUUGCGAAUUUAUGUUCGUUGACACUCGUAUGUCCAGCCAACGUUUAUAUUACGCCAUCGUGCAUGUCGGCUGCAGCUAUGGAGAGAAAAGUCAGAAGCUUUCAGGGCUAGUUUACCUCGUGCCUACUAGGCAGGCAGACACGCAUUUACUAAACGACAUGUUGAAUAAUCUUUCUAAUAAUUGAAAAUUUUCAGUUUAUGCUUUUUAAAUCUUAUUAGUACCCACUGAAAUAUAAAUGUACUCUGAUGGAAAGAAUUUAUUUGAUGAGUGUUGUUUUUAUUAGCACUCUGUUUUCUUGGAACAAACUAGAGCAUUACUUCGAGGGGCGGGUAUAUUGUCAAAUCAAUUGACAUAUUCCCAGAAUACGAUGAACGCUAAAUGCUUGGCAGAGUCUGUGACAUUAAUUAAAUGCUGGAAUUAAACUUAAACGAAAAUGAGUAGGCAUAGAUUGAAUAAAAAAAUCUAUAAUUAUUUAAUAUCUAACCAUAGAGAUUAUUUUGAUUCACUCUUUGUUCAAAAUUGUUAUAGUUCCAAAAUUAACUGUAUAUAUUUCCUCAAUAAUACUGGCCCAAAAAAAAUUCCUCAAUUUAAUAAUUGUUUACUUCAAACUUGUACUCUCCACAAUCAUAAAGACCCAUCUAUGGACUCAUCUUGAACAACAGUAAACAAAUCAUGAAAUCUAGAAGUGAAUUAAUUAUUCCACUUACUUCAUUCACAAGCCAAGUAAAUUUUAUUUAUUUAUUUAUUUUUUAAUUUUUAAUAUUUCAAAAUAUAUAAUAAUGUGUCAACAUUAAAUAGUUUCUAGUUGUGUUGAUAUAGUUAACGAAUCUUUAUUUUAAAUUUUAAGUUUUUGUAAAGAUUGUUGAUUAUUAAUGUUUUAAUUUAUCUGUCUUUAAAUGUUAUGUUCUUAUAUUCCAUUGUGUAUGUGUUGUGUUUCUGUUGUACUAGUCUUUUUUUGUUUUGGUCGCUGUAAGUAUCAGGUAUGCUUAACUUCAUGUGUUGGCCAACUGUAGAUGUGCCUACCUGCUGUGGUUUCGCCUCAGGUAAAGCUUGUCUACUUUGGUGCCGACGAGGGGGAGUGUCCAGGUACUAGCAGGGACCAAUUUUGUUCUUUUUUUGUUUUAUUCUUGUAUCUUUUAUUUUCUGUUUUUUACCUGUCUGUAUGUGUAGUUCCCACCACGAAAGCCCUAGGCUGGUGGUGGCCAUGUUACAAACAUAAAUAAAUAAAAAAUUCCUAACAAUCAUUUCAA